rnacentral:tRNA from 1 species
GAUGCCAUAGUGUAGUGGUUAUCAUAUCUGCUAUGUACAUGGAGAAGAUCCUGGGUUCGAGCCCCACUGAUCC